rnacentral:lncRNA from 1 species
GCUUGUUGUACUGAGAUUUUAGGACUUUACAUACACCUCCUUGUAUAAUUCACAGUUUUUUGUGAUUAUAUAUUUGAACUGAAGGAUUUCUAUAAAUAAUCUUUUAUUCCCUCCUCUGUAGGCUCUCCUGCCUCCACAGACAUCAUUCAACGUCUCCAUCACUCGGUCUGGCUGUUCCACAGAUCUCAGCACUGUCCUGCAGGCUGAAGGAGCACAGAAAGGCAGUCUAAACCUGUCUCUAACUUGUGAUCCUCAGCUUAGUCUCCGGGCAUCUGUACAGCACUCUAUUGAGCCAAUAAAGAAGCUGCAGUUUCCUACCCACGGAGAGCUAUUCCUAAACGUCUCAACUGCCCUUCUGCCUGGUGUGGAGGUCGGCCUGGAGGUCGGACGUUGUUUUUUUAGGGGUAACGUAGGGAAAGUCAAGGCUUCACAGACAGAGACUGAGCAGACUUCUUACACUGUUAAUGUGAGCAGCUUCUGUCCUCCUCUGCAGGAAAUGAAACUGCCUGUGUCCCUGGCUCUGCAGGGCCUACUCAAGGUUAUUCCUUGCCAGCUGACUCUGUCCGCCUCUGUGAGGGCAGAUAAUCAGAACCUCUCUUUAGACAUGAGCCAGUCCUGCAGGAGUCCAAACCUCUCUGGGGCCCUGACUCACUCCUUCCUCUGGCUGAGUGGUCAGGGUGUACCACAGAUCAUUUCUAUAGAUGGUAGUGCUCCUGAAGGCCCUGAACAGCCUGGAAGUCUAUUCAUCAAAGUUGGGACGUGUCACAUUAGAGCCACUCGAGUUAUGGAAACCAAAGGACGAAAAGAGUGGCUGCUGGCUCUGGAGUCUAUGUGCCCUCUGUUACAGGUUGGAUCUUUUGAAUGA